UUUUAAAUAGCCCCGGGGCGGGUGCCUGGGUGGCUCAGUUGGUUAAGCCUCCGACUUGGGCUCAGGUCAUGAUCUCAUGGUCUGUGGGUUCCAUCCGGCGUCGGGCUCUGUGCUGAUGGCUCAGAGCCUGGAGCCUGCUUCAUGUUCUAUGUCUCCCUCUCUCGCUGCCCCUCCCACACUCAUGCUGUCUCUCUCUGUCUCUCAAAAAUAAAUAAACAUUAAAGAAAAAAAAAUAGCCCCAGGGCACCUGGGUGGCUCGGUUAACUGUCUGACUCUUGGUUUCAGCUCAGGUCAUGAUCUCACAGUUUUGUGGGUUCGAGCCUUGCAUCGGGCUCUGUGCUGAUGGUGUGGAACCUGCUUGGGAUUCUCUCUCUCCCUCUCUCUCUGUCACUCUCCUACUCACGCUGUCUCUGUCUCUCACAAUAAAUAAACUUAAAAAAAAAUAGCCCCAAACUGGAAACAACUCAAAUGUUCACCAACAAGUGUAUCUCCUGGAAUACUACUCAGCAAUAAAAAGGAACAAGCUAUUGAUUCAUACAACUACACAAAUGAAUCUCAAAAUAAUUGUGCUGAGUGAUAGAAGCCAGACCAAAAAAGAGCACAUAGCAUAUGAUCUGAUUUAUAUAAAAUUGUAGAAAAUGAAAACUGAGCUGUAAUGAUAGUGGUUGCCUGGGGAUGGGGGGAAGGAGAUAGGGAGGGAUGUAUCCCCUAAGGGACACAAGGAAAUUUGGGGAAGUAUAUGAGUCAGGGUCCUCCAGAAAAACAGAACCAACAUAUUAUGUUCACACGUGAAUAUAUAUUCACAUACAGUAAAACCUUGGUUUGCGAGCAUAAUUCGUUCCAGAAACAUGCUUGUAAUCCAAAGCACUUGUAUACCAAAGCAAAUUUCCCCAUAAGAAAUAAUGGAAACUCAGAUGAUUCGUUCUACAACCCAAAAUAUUCAUAUAAGAAUGAUUACAGUACUAUAACAUAAUACAAAAGAAUAAAGAAAAUACAAAAUAUAAAGAACAACAAACAACCUGCACUUCCCUUUGAAAGCCUUCGUGGCUGGUAUGAGGGAAAGAGAGGAGGGUUAUUGUGUAGGACGACUUUCACUAUCACGAAAGGAAUCACCGCUCUCUAUUGGCUCAAUGGAACCUUUUUCUUCUCCUGCAACCUUAUCCAAUGGCCCCUGCUUUUGCCUUUUUUUGAGGAUUUUGCAGAACCGUGACAUCGCAUUGGCGAUCACCCACAAUCCCGCAGCCGGAGAGAGAGAAGAACCAUUGGCUCAGUGGUAAUCGUGUGACAUCUGGCAUCACGUAGUACUCGGAUUGCAAGGCAUCUCUUGUUUUUCAAGUUAAGAUUGAUUAGAAAUGUUUGCUCGUCUUGGGGAACACUCGCAGAACGAGCUGGUCGAAAUCCAAGGUUUUACUGUAUUUUGUGUUCACCACGGGAGGUGAUAACCGCUACAGGGAGGAACGGCCCUGAAAGACAGUGGUGAAGGGAAAGCCUCCCAGUAGACACAUUUUGGCCAAUCUGGUUGUGUGCUUCGGAGGAAAGGUGGUUUGGGGUCAAGGUCUACACUGACUGAUGAGUCAUGGGUCAUAGAUUCGCUGGCUGGUCAGGAACCCUGGAUGGUCGAGAUCGGAAGGCUUGUGAGCAGGAAGUCUGGGAACGAGUUACAUGGAGGUGGAAGCCCCUGGGUGAGCAUCAUGUGACACUACAAGGAGCAGGGUCCUGUUCCGGGUCCAGACUUGCUUUUCUUUACUGGCAGCGUGCCAGCACCACCACUUGGAGAUUUUCAGAGUGCCCUGCUCAUUGUCAUGGUAACCCACACAACAUCAUCUCCAGCCAAGAAACUCAUUAUACGGCAAAAGGCAUGUGGCACUGAGUUCAUGCCCGUGGAAUUCACUGGCCUGUGCACGGCUCCCGAGAUACUCAGUGGCACUUGUGUGGAUGGACUGAGGAAAUGGCCUGCUGAGGGCUCAGCUGGGGCACCAGCGGGAGUAUGUGGGAUCUCUCCGGGAGACACCACGUGUAUUCGGUGCCGUUUCCCCCAUGGCCCGAAUACGCAGGUUCUGUACUUUGACAGGCUGCCCCUGGAGUCUCGAACUGGUCUGGAGCGUAGCCCGGGGAGGAAAUUUUGGAGAUCUGAAGAGAAGACGUGACAUAGUCACAUAGGUGUGUUAGAUGUGCGCAAGGACCAGGGUGGAGGCCGAAGGGGCCCCCGUCGCUUUUUCACCAACCAGUCCUCUUACAGAACGUUCGUUACAGAAUGUUCGCUGGAGAACAUUCCCGGGAGAGCAGUCUUGAUCCCGUUAAACUGGAAGGUCAGGUUGGUGACUUGUGGGCUUCUUGACCGAGCCCGCAUCAAAUGGGGUUCGCUGUACUGGCCGGGAUAAGGAGGACUGUACCUGAGCCAGAGGACUCGCCAGAGCGCGGCAGGGUCUCCCCGUCCAGAAACCGGCCAAUAGGAAACCGCGGUGACUCAGGGAGGACAGGACAGCUAAGAAUUUGGAUUCCGUGGGAAUGAAGAUUUGCACCACCCCGAGAAGUGAAACCCAGAGGGCCGCAGUGCUGCCGAGAGGUAGGGAAGUCGGUGCAGGCAGCGAGAGGAGGGAGCCAAGAGUGCCACCCCAGGGCUGGAAGCAGCAGCAAGUGGGCUCUUUCCCCCCCCCUUUCCCUGCUGCCCUCCGUGAAGAACAAUGUUGGCCACUAACGCCGUCGUUUGGAUUCGCAUUGCAAGUAUGACACAGUUGACACUACCCACCGCAGUCGAUGCCUGAUGGGACUUGGUGUUUCCCCAGGGUGGGGGCCACAGGAUCCAGUCGUCGAAAUAAAGGACAAGGACUCUCUCUGCCCCUCCGGAUUCAUUUUCCAUCCUUUUCUCGCCUGCUGGGUGUCCAGGAGGCUGACCGCUAUAGAAUCCACUCUCCAGACCCUCUCAUCUUCUGGCCUCCAGUUGGAUUUGACCAAUGGAGGCAUGAGCAGGAGAUCGUAGGUUUGGAGGAAACAUAGAUCAGGGGAUUUGUCACGGUUUUGACAGUGCUCGCUUGGCCCUGAAGCCCCGGGGCGGGCAGACCCUCUUCCACAGCCCUGACCCCCACAUGGUAAUGGGAGCAUCAUCCCUUCUUUGUCCCCUUGGUCCCCGUUUGGUGCUUGUAUCUGGGUGUCUUAUUAUCAUUAUUUUCCCUUAGCCCUGCCCGUGUCUCAUAAAGAGGCCCUUCAUUAACUUUCUUCAAUUAAACCUUCUUUCUGUGCCAUAUA